rnacentral:lncRNA from 1 species
AGGACCAAUCCCAGUGGAGGCCUGGUAUAUGGAUGGCUCUGCAAGGGGCAACCCCCCUCCCGACUCCCCAGUGGACAGCACUAGCCAUCCAGCCUUCGACCGACAGCGUGUGGUUGGACUGUGGCUCUGGGUACAAUAGUCAAUGGGCUGAACUGCGAGCUGCCUGGAUGGUGCUGACUCGUGAACCCGAUCCAAUGCGUCUGUGCAUGGACAGGUGGGCGGUCUACAAAGGGCUCACCCUGUGGAUGGCACAGAGGGCACAACAAAAGUGGACAAUUAAUGGUCGCCCAUUGUGGGGGGCAGAACUCUGGGAUGAUAUCUGGCAGCAGGUCCAGGGAAUGACAGUAACAGUGUACCAUGUGUCUGCACAUCAGGCGAUGACGCCACCAGGGAACCAACAAGCAGAUGAGUUAGCUUGGAUUCGUCUCCUGGAAGAAGUGCCAGCCAAAAGAGUGGCAGAGCAGCUACACAAGAAGACUGGCACAAAGGACAAAGAAUCCUAGGGGCUAUUGCCAAGGCCUGGGGCCUCCCCCUGCACUAUGCUGGUGUGGUGCAGGUCUGUCGGGUGUGCCCUUCUUGCUCCUCGCAGAGACCCUGGGCCAUUCCCUGGGACACAGGCCAAAUAGCCAGAAACAACGCUGGCAAGUGGACUACAUUGGGCCCUUGCCUCUUUCUGAUGGCUGUCGGCAUGCUCUCACUUGUGUGGGGACAUCUACAGGACUGCUACAGACAUACCCCAGCAAAAGGGCCACAGCAUGAGGCCUGGGACGUCUCUGUGCUGCAUACGGUGUUCCCACAGACAUCAACAGUGACAAAGGUAUGCAUUUUACUGGCCAUCAGGUACAGACACGGGCUGGUCAAAUGGACAUACAUUGGCAUUCUCACCUGCCACACAAUCCCAUGGCCACAAGGCUGGUAGAACAAAUGAAUGGCUUCCUGAAACAAUUGAGGAUAGAAGACAGAACCCUAGCCCACUAGACAAGACACCUGGCAACUGCAAUACGUCAACUGAAUGAACAUGAGAGGCGCACCCAACCCAACGCAUAUGAGAUGUUGACACAAGGACCUGAUACAACAGUGCGUCUACAGACAAGGGAUCAUCAAAGAGACAAACUACAGCCACAGAUGAGCACUCAGAACAACUUGCUUUUUCCUCUGCCACAGAACUCCCUACUGGGACCCACAUGGUCACUUGCCCUGGGACUGGCAGGUCUGCCUCACGCCGGGAGCUGGGAAAAGGAGUCCAACCAAGUUUCAUUUUCCCUUUUAAAAGCUCACUGGAUGCAGUGUGGAGAACCGAUUAGAUGGGUUUCAGGGUUACCUCCUGUGGGUCUGGAACUGGCCUGAGAUGAGCUGCUGAAGGGACAGAUGUACCUGAACAGAACUGGCCU